rnacentral:rRNA from 1 species
GACGAACGCUGGCGGCGUGCCUAAUACAUGCAAGUCGAACGCAGUGGGGACGGGUGAGUAACACGUGGGUAACCUCCCAUCAGAGGGGAUAACACUUGGAAACAGGUGCUAAACCGAUACUGAUGGAUGGACCCGCGGUGCAUUAGCUAGUUGGUGAGGUACCGGCUCACCAAGGCCACGAUGCAUAGCCGACCUGAGAGGUGGAUCGGCCACACGGGGCCUGAUACACUGCCCAGCAGCCUACGGGAGGCAGCAGUAGGGAAUCUUCGGCAAUGGUCGAAUGUCUGACCGAGAAACGCCGCUUGAGUGAAUAAGGUUUUCGGAUCGUAAACCUCUGUUGUUAGAGAAGCGGUAUCUAACCAGAAAGCCACGGCUAACUACGUGCCAGCAGCCGCGGUAAUAC